UUCUACACCUGCCUUCUACUUAGGGCUUCAUGCUUCAUAUUCAGUUGAUAUCAUCAGAGAAAACCACUCCUCUAUCAAUACCUCAUUUUGGUGUUUUUAAUAUUUUUCUUUUGUUAAUUUGUACAGUAAUCGUUCCACGAAAUUCCUCAAUGAAAGUAACUAUACAAGUAUUUCGCAAAAGAGUUGGGCUUCAAAGAAUUAUCAAAGCUAAGUUAAAGAGGUUGGUUACGGCCUCAGUUAUUGUGACCAUGUGCUUAUGUCUCAAUGGUGUAUGAUAGUGUUUACAAAGGGAUUGUACUAGCCAGCUUGAUGAAUUGGCCACCAAGACUUAUGCUGCCAUGAUUACUGCGCACCCUGACUAUGCAUGUAUACUUCAAAUGGCCAGGCUCAGUACGUUUAAAAUUUGACUAAUCUGAAGGUAAUAUCAUGAUCUGAGACAUGUACUUGUGGAGGACCUAUUAUUCACAUCCUCGUUAUCGAGAGGCGUAGUGGUGAGCUGCCUUUCUGAGCCGUCCUCCAGUUACCAAUGCCUCUCUUUGUAUUUUACAUUUCUGUCUAUUUCAUUUUAGAUAAUAUUUGGAGUUUUGUAUAAUCUACUAGAUGCUCAUACA